AAAGAAUAGAAUGUUGUAAGAGUAUUGAACUCAAAGCAGUAUUGUAAGUGUGUAGUAAGUUGAAAGUAUUGAACUAAAGGUUCGAGGUAUUGAACUUGAAGUCCUCUCAAAAGUGCAGAAGGGUGGUCCUUUUUAUAUUGCAGAAAACAAGUAAGAAAGAUAAGGGAAUAACAUUGAAAUCAAUCUCCCUUUAAUUAAGAUAUUCUAAUUUCAAAUGGGUGAAAGACAAUUAAGGAAAAAGUUAACUAAAAAUUUUUCCAAGCAGUACAAUGAAGGGUAAAUACAUAGGAGUUAUUUAAGGCGAAAUCCAAUGGUACAUGGUUUGUGAAAAAAAAGGAAAGAGAAUCAAUCAAACAACCACUAAAAACAAAAAUUACAGGCUUAACUCAAAUGGACUAAGUCCAGAAUAGGUAAAGAGGAUUCAAUUAGGGAAUAUCCGUAGCAAUCAAUCAAACUCUAUUAGAGGAUUUCAGAAUCAAUUAAUUAGUUGGUAAAAACCUUUUGAAAGAAGAGUUCUCAUAUAUAAAGCACACAAAUAUGUGACUCAAGAAGAGACUGUCAAGUUAUUUAGAAGAGAUUUGAAUCAAAGAGAAGUUCAAAAUCAUAAACAAAGAGC
rnacentral:lncRNA from 1 species